AUGCACGCUGGCGGCGUGCCUAAUACACGCAAGUCGAGCGAACGGACGAGAAGCUUGCUUCUCUGAUGUUAGCGGCGGACGGGUGAGUAACACGUGGAUAACCUACCUAUAAGACUGGGAUAACUUCGGGAAACCGGAGCUAAUACCGGAUAAUAUUUUGAACCGCAUGGUUCAAAAGUGAAAGACGGUCUUGCUGUCACUUAUAGAUGGAUCCGCGCUGCAUUAGCUAGUUGGUAAGGUAACGGCUUACCAAGGCAACGAUGCAUAGCCGACCUGAGAGGGUGAUCGGCCACACUGGAACUGAGACACGGUCCAGACUCCUACGGGAGGCAGCAGUAGGGAAUCUUCCGCAAUGGGCGAAAGCCUGACGGAGCAACGCCGCGUGAGUGAUGAAGGUCUUCGGAUCGUAAAACUCUGUUAUUAGGGAAGAACAUAUGUGUAAGUAACUGUGCACAUCUUGACGGUACCUAAUCAGAAAGCCACGGCUAACUACGUG
rnacentral:rRNA from 1 species